rnacentral:rRNA from 1 species
GCUUGUCUCAAAGAUUAAGCCAUGCAUGUCUAAGUGUAAAUAAGUCUAUACUGUGAAACUGCGAAUGGCUCAUUAAAUCAGUUAUCGUUUAUUUGAUGAUCUCUUACUACUUGGAUAACCGUAGUAAUUCUAGAGCUAAUACAUGCAUCAAACCUCGACUUUAUUGGAAGAGGUGUAUUUAUUAGAUGGAAACCAAUGCGGGGCAACCCGGAUUCAGGUGAUUCAUAAUAACUUUCGGAUCGAUCUUCGGAUCGAUGCAUCAUUCAAGUUUCUGCCCUAUCAGCUUUGGAUGGUAGGGUAUUGGCCUACCAUGGCUUUAACGGGUAACGG